rnacentral:rRNA from 1 species
AGUGAACGCUGGCGGUAGGCCUAACACAUGCAAGUCGAACGGCAGCACAGUAAGAGCUUGCUCUUACGGGUGGCGAGUGGCGGACGGGUGAGGAAUACAUCGGAAUCUACUUUUUCGUGGGGGAUAACGUAGGGAAACUUACGCUUAUACCGCAUACGACCUACGGGUGAAAGCGGGGGAUCUUCGGACCUUGCGCGAUUGAAUGAGCCGAUGUCGGAUUAGCUAGUUGGCGGGGUAAAGGCCCACCAAGGCGACGAUCCGUAGCUGGUCUGAGAGGAUGAUCAGCCACACUGGAACUGAGACACGGUCCAGACUCCUACGGGAGGCAGCAGUGGGGAAUAUUGGACAAAGGGCGCAAGCCUGAUCCAGCCAUACCGCGUGGGUGAAGAAGGCCUUCGGGUUGUAAAGCCCUUUUGUUGGGAAAGAAAAGCAGCAGGUUAAUACCCCGCUGUUCUGACGGUACCCAAAGAAUAAGCACCGGCUAACUUCGUG